ACGAUGAACCAGACUGCCGCGGGGGGCCCCAAGAAAGUCCCUGUUCCGCCGCCAUGCGGAAGGGCAUGGGCGCCGCCCGAGGAAAGUCCGGGCUCCAUAGGGCGUGACGCCGGGUAAGUCCCGGGCGGGAAGGGCGAAAGCCCUUCCCGACAGAAAGCGCAACAGAAAAUAUACAGCCCCGGAGGGCGGCCCCGGGAGGGGCGGUUUUUCGGCGGUAAUGGUGAAAUGGCGGGGUAAGAGCCCGCCGCGAUGCCGGUAACGGUAUCGCUGGCAAGCCUCGUCAGGAGCAAAAUCAAGCGGCGCGGCAAAAGUUCUCUUUUGCGCCAAUUGCCCGUUGGUCAAGCGCAGGUAGGUUGCCGGGGAAUUCCCCGGAGGCUGUCCGUAAGGCCGGCCCAAGACAGAUGGCAGUCAGCCAACCGCCCCCGGGCGGCCGGCGACAGAACCCGGCUUAUGGUUCAUCGUUUUU
rnacentral:RNase_P_RNA from 1 species